rnacentral:lncRNA from 1 species
AGUCCCGCCGACCCUGCCGGCGCCUCCGCCCUCCCGCCCUCCCGCCCUCGGUUUCCCACGACCUCGGCGCGACGCGCGCGGGAUCCAGUGGAGACUGCUUUCCCAUAGGCCGCCAUCCAGGGCGGGGAAGGGAGCGGACCCUCCCGGCUCCAGGUGCCUGGGCCCCCGGCGGCCUGCGGAGGCCUCGCCCCACGCCACCCGCCCACUGGCCUCGUCUUCGCGCGGGGAGAAAAGCAGCCUGAUUCGGAGGAACGGGUUGCUUGGGGCGGCUCCCAGCUCGAGUUGUGGGCCCCGCCGCGGGUGCCCUUCGGAAACGCGCUGACACCAGGCGAAGCCGCCUCUGCCCGGACGCAGCCCGACACUUGGCCCGCGGGGUUCCCCGGGACGCCUGAGAGUAAUGGGCGCGAGGGGGAAAGCCGAACGGCCUCCCUGUGCCCGGCGCAGGCGGUGCCCCCUAGCUGGGUUCGCCGCGGCGGCGCUGCGAGCCCCCGACACUGAGGACUUUUGGUCCAACAGUCCGACGGGGCCCGGUGCGCCGUUCCCUCCGCCCUCUCCCCGCUCCCCGGCCCGCGCGUCUUGGAGGGUGGGUGAAUUGUCGGAAGCACUCUACGCCUGGCCAACCCAAACCAGGAACCUCCGCACCAAACAGCCCACGUUGCUGCUGCUCUGGGGUUUUAACGGCCAAGGGAGACUGGAGAAGGGGUGUUCUGCCUUCCCAUUCUCUUAGGCCCGUCCACUCCCCAUCCCCACAGUUUGGAAGUGGCCUUUUCUGAGGACUCCAGCGCAAAGCAUGUUUCUCCUUUUGAGCUGCGGAAGCCUUGCUUGUUCCCGCCAUUGGGAGGGCAUUCCAUCAUCUGCAGCUGCCUUCCUCGGUGGGCCUUGUCCCUUAGCGUCCACCUAGGGGACAUUCUAAGCUUCUUGAGACCUGCUUGUCCACCCCAACAUGUCUCAGCAUAUGGCUGUGCCCUAAGGGGUCUUUGAGGGCAUUUUAGGAGGUGAGCGGCGCCCCUACCUGGGCUCCGCGGGGCCGAUUCGGUUUGCCCUUUGCUGGCAUGUCAGUGAAUUAACUGCUGUCCUUGGGAUGACCUGCCCUAUGAUUUGGCCUCUGGAGCAUCCCGGGUGUGUAUUUCAGAACUCCUCCCAUCUUAUCCACCUGCUGAAGGCCUGGCCCCCUGAUAUGGUUUGGCUCUGUUUCCCCACCCAAAUCUCACCUUGAAUUUUAAUAAUCCCCACGUGUCAUGGGCGGGACCAGGUGGAGGUAAUUGAAUCAUGGAGGUGGUUUCCUGAACGCUGCUCUCGUGACAGUGAGUUCACAAGAUUUUUUUUUUUAACGGAGUAUCACUCUGUCACUCAGGCUGGAGUGCAGUGGCGCGAUCUUGGUUCACUGCAACCUCUGCCUCCCGGGUUCAAGAGAUUCUCCUGCCUCAGCCUCCCGAGUAGCUGGGAUUACAGGUGCGCGCCAUCACGCCCGGCUAAUGUGUAUUUUUAGUAGAGAAAGGGUUUCACCAUGUUGGUUAGGCUGGUCUGGAACUCCUGACCUUGUGAUCUGCCUGCCUCGGCCUCCCAAAGUGCUGGGAUUACACGCGUGAGCCACUGUGCCCAGCCGAUCUGAUGCUUUUAUAAAGGGCUUUCCCCGUCCCCCUUCCUCUCUCUCACCACCCUGUGAGAAAGGUGCCUUUCUUCCCCCUUCACGUGAACUGCCUCCAUGAUUGUAAGCUUCCUGAGGCCUCCCCAGCUAUAAGGAACUGUGAGCCAAUUAAACUGCUUUAUAAAUUAAAAAAAAAAAAAAAAAAAAAAAAAAAAAAAAAAAAAAAAAAAAAAAAAAAAAAAAAAAAAAAAAAAAAAAAAAAAAAAAAAAAAA